UACGUAGGUGGCAAGCGUUGUCCGGAUUUACUGGGCGUAAAGGGCGUGCAGGCGGUUUGUUUAGUCUAGGGUGAAAGCUCCCGGCUUAACUGGGAGAGGUCCUUGGAUACUGGCAAACUUGAGGGAGGCAGAGGAAAGUGGAAUUCCCGGUGUAGUGGUGAUAUGCGUAGAUAUCGGGAGGAACACCAGUGGCGAAGGCGGCUUUCUGGGCCUUACCUGACGCUGAGACGCGAAAGCGUGGGGAGCGAACCGG
rnacentral:rRNA from 3 species